CAAAGAGCACUGGUUCUUUUCUUUGGGCAUCUGCUGAAAGAACAUCACAUGCCCACCUAAAUAGGGUACGCCUCUCUGUAUUCUAUCAUUAGGAGCAGCAGGACAUCUGGGGAUGAGAAGAUGGAGAGAUCAUCCUUAUAUAAUGUUGCAGUCUGGAAGCAUCACUCUCAAAAAGGUUUUGAUAGACUAGAAAAAUGACAAGACUCCAAGUCCUUGAAGAGGAGGAAAAGUGUGAAGAAAACAAAAAAGGGAGAUUUAUGUCUGCUUCACCAUUUUGCCCAAGACUUGACCUGUCAUACACUGAAGCUCAGAGAGGAAGAAAGGACCGUGUGAGAGAAGAAGGGAACAGCCUUUCAUCCAUAGGAGAAGUUCGUCUAUGACAAAGCCACUAGCUCCAUGUGGCCGCUGAGCACUCAAAAUGUGGCCAGUCUGAAUUGAGAUAUGUUGUUAGUAUAAAGUCCACAUCGGCUUUUUGAGCACUUUGUAUGAGAAAAAAGAAUACCAAAUAUCUCCUUAAUAAUUGUUACAUUGAUUAUAUGUUGAACUGAUAACAUUAUGGAUAUAUUGGAUUAAAUAAAAUAAAUUAUUAAAAUCAAAUAAAAAAUAAAAUCAA
rnacentral:lncRNA from 1 species